GCCUCCGUAGCUCAGUUGGAUAGAGCAGCGGUUUCCUAAACCGUUGGUCGUGCGUUCAAGUCGCGCCGGGGGCACCA
rnacentral:tRNA from 1 species